rnacentral:lncRNA from 10 species
CACACUCACAAAGAGCCGAGGGGAGAGAGGGUGCGCAGACGGCCAGCCGGGCCGCGCCAGGGACAUACUGGAGACAGGAAGUGGCUGAGAGGGGGAGAGAGUUGGAGAGAGACGGCCGCGGAGGACACGGGGACGGGAAAGUCUGAGAGACGGGGAGAGCCUGACCCGGCGGGACACAGGCAGAAAGAAACACGCGAGCCAGACAGACGCAGAAGAAACGUGCCUGGUACUGGAUAGGAACUUCAUGGAAUGGAGCUAAUGGGCCGUAGGGCAGGUUUGAGUCGUGCCACCCUGGAGCAGAAGGUGGAGGGUAGGGAUAAGGGGGUGGAGCACCUGAUUCCAAUCUUGCCACAGGGAAGAAGAGUCUGUGAAGAAGUGCGUGAUGACUGUGUGUCCCCCCCCACCCAGAAAUUGGCAUUUGGGAGGGGUGGAUAUGGUUGGGACUGGGGAGCCUUGAUCUUACUGCUCUUGGUUGAGUUGGUGUCCAAUAGACAGUUUCAGAGGUUAGAGCAGUGGGAGUCACUGGGGACUGGGGACAGGAGAGGUGGGGGUGGGGGAAGCCAGGCGGGAAUGAGUAGGGAGGCACUGGGAGGAGGGGAGAGGCAAGAGUUAGGGGAAUACCGAGGAAAGUGGCAGGGAUUGGAGGCUCCUGGAGAAAGGGCAAGGCUGAAGGUUGUCCCAUGUAUUUUGGCCAGAUUUGAUUAUGUAAUCGAGAAUCAUGAGAUAAUUAAGUGUGUUCAUGUCUCUGGA